AGUACGGCGAGUGAGCGGCAACAGCUCAAAUUUGAAAUCUGGCGCAAGCCCGAGUUGUAAUUUGCAGAGGAUGCUUCUGGGUAGCGACCGGUCUAAGUUCCUUGGAACAGGACGUCAUAGAGGGUGAGAAUCCCGUAUGCGACCGACCCGCACCCUCCACGUAGCUCCUUCGACGAGUCGAGUUGUUUGGGAAUGCAGCUCUAAAUGGGAGGUAAAUUUCUUCUAAAGCUAAAUACCGGCCAGAGACCGAUAGCGCACAAGUAGAGUGAUCGAAAGAUGAAAAGCACUUUGGAAAGAGAGUUAAAAAGCACGUGAAAUUGUUGAAAGGGAAGCGCUCACAACCAGACUUCGCAGCGGUGUUCCGCCGGUCUUCUGACCGGUCUAUUCAUCGUCGCGAGGCCAACAUCGUCUGGGCCCGCCGGAUAAGACUCAAGGAAUGUAGCUUCCCCUCGGGGAAGUGUUAUAGCCUUCUGUGAUACGGCGCGGCUCGGGCGAGGUCCGCACUUCGGUAAGGAUGUUGGCGUAAUGGUUGUCAGCGGCCCGUCUUGAAACACGGAC
rnacentral:rRNA from 1 species